rnacentral:rRNA from 1 species
AGAGUUUGAUCCUGGCUCAGGACGAACGCUGGCGGCGUGCCUAAUACAUGCAAGUAGAACGCUGAAGGAGGAGCUUGCUCUUCUGGAUGAGUUGCGAACGGGUGAGUAACGCGUAGGUAACCUGCCUGGUGGCGGGGGAUAACUAUUGGAAACGAUAGCUAAUACCGCAUAACAUUGACUAUUGCAUGAUAGUCAAUUGAAAGGUGCAAAUGCACCACUACCAGAUGGACCUGCGUUGUAUUAGCUAGUUGGUGGGGUAACGGCUCACCAAGGCGACGAUACAUAGCCGACCUGAGAGGGUGAUCGGCCACACUGGGACUGAGACACGGCCCAGACUCCUACGGGAGGCAGCAGUAGGGAAUCUUCGGCAAUGGACGAAAGUCUGACCGAGCAACGCCGCGUGAGUGAAGAAGGUUUUCGGAUCGUAAAGCUCUGUUGUAAGAGAAGAACGAGUGUGAGAGUGGAAAGUUCACACUGUGACGGUAUCUUACCAGAAAGGGACGGCUAACUACGUGCCAGCAGCCGCGGU